UAGGGAAUCUUGCGCAAUGGGCGAAAGCCUGACGCAGCAACGCCGCGUGGGGGAUGAAGGCCCUCGGGUUGUAAACCCCUUUCAGCAGGAACGAAUCUGACGGUACCUGCAGAAGAAGGCCCGGCUAACUACGUGCCAGCAGCCGCGGUAACACGGAGGGGCCAAGCGUUGUCCGGAUUCAUGGGGCGUAAAGAGCUCGUAGGCGGUUCAGUUAGUCGGGUGUGAAAUCUCCGGGCUCAACUCGGAGGGGCCACCCGAUACUGCUGUGACUCGAGUCCGGUAGGGGAGUGGGGAAUUCCUGGUGUAGCGGAGAAAUGCGCAGAUAUCAGGAGGAACACCGGUGGCGAAGGCGCCACUCUGGGCCGGUACUGACGCUGAGGAGCGAAAGCGUGGGGAGCAAACAGG
rnacentral:rRNA from 1 species